UGGGGAAUAUUGCACAAUGGGCGCAAGCCUGAUGCAGCCAUGCCGCGUGUGUGAAGAAGGCCUUCGGGUUGUAAAGCACUUUCAGCGAGGAGGAAGGUGGUGAGCUUAAUACGCUCAUCAAUUGACGUUACUCGCAGAAGAAGCACCGGCUAACUCCGUGCCAGCAGCCGCGGUAAUACGGAGGGUGCAAGCGUUAAUCGGAAUUACUGGGCGUAAAGCGCACGCAGGCGGUUUGUUAAGUCAGAUGUGAAAUCCCCCGGGCUCAACCUGGGAACUGCAUUUGAAACUGGCAAGCUAGAGUCUCGUAGAGGGGGGUAGAAUUCCAGGUGUAGCGGUGAAAUGCGUAGAGAUCUGGAGGAAUACCGGUGGCGAAGGCGGCCCCCUGGACGAAGACUGACGCUCAGGUGCGAAAGCGUGGGGCAGCAAACAGGAUUAGAUACCCUGGUAGUCCAGCGCUGUAAAACGAUGUCGAUUUGGAGGUUGUGCCCUUGAGGCGUGGGCUUCCGGAGCUAACGCGUUAAAUCGACCGCCUGGGGGAGUACGGCC
rnacentral:rRNA from 1 species